rnacentral:siRNA from 1 species
AAGGCCCGCCUAAUAGGCUGGUGCA